CGGUAAUACGUAGGUGGCAAGCGUUGUCCGGAAUUAUUGGGCGUAAAGCGCGCGCAGGUGGUUCCUUAAGUCUGAUGUGAAAGCCCACGGCUCAACCGUGGAGGGUCAUUGGAAACUGGGGAACUUGAGUGCAGAAGAGGAAAGUGGAAUUCCAAGUGUAGCGGUGAAAUGCGUAGAGAUUUGGAGGAACACCAGUGGCGAAGGCGACUUUCUGGUCUGUAACUGACACUGAGGCGCGAAAGCGUGGGGAGCAAACAGGAUUA
rnacentral:rRNA from 1 species